rnacentral:lncRNA from 1 species
UGCACUCCAGCCUAGGUGACAGAGUAAGACCCUGCCUCAAAAAAUUAAUUAAUUAAUUAAAUAAAAUAAGAAAUCUAUUCUGGAAAUCAGUCAUCAAACACCACAAUUUUGGGAAUAUAGUUUGGACGACCACUUCCUUUUCUGGAAACCAUUUUUAGAAUAAGAAAAUGAGCCAGAAUACACCUUGCCAAAUAAGUUUCCCCAAAUCACAAUUAUGAUUUGGGGAAUGAACACAAGAAUGAACAAAUUAAGUCAUAAAUGUAUGCAAUCAUUUUUGAAUGUCUUUGCAGAGAAAUAUUCAAAGUGGUAAGAUGGAUUGAACUGCCAACCAAAAUUGUCAAUCUUUAUUUCAGUCUUCACUAUUAAGCUAAAAAGAUUCCUGCCUGCCACCCUGUGGGGCAGGCAAGAUGAUAUUAUACAUCUCUUAUAAAACAAAGAUACAGACUCAGAAUGGCUAAUAGGAUAUUGCUGAGGCCUGCCAGGUAUCUUUUGGUGAAUAGAUACUCUUUAUCUUAAGGUAUCUUUUGGUGAAUAGAUACUCUUUAUCUUAAGAUUUGUUGUGGUUAUUCUUGGUCUGCUGCCCAUCUAUAAAAAAUUUAGAAUCCAUCGGUAAAGUUGCACAACAAAUUCUGUUAGGAUUUUGUUGGAAUUACACUGAACCUACAGAUCGGUUUGGGAAUAACUGACAUCUUUACAAUACUGAGUCUUCCCAUCCAAGGAAACAGUAUAUUAUAUUCCAUCUAAUUAUGUCAUUUGGAAUUGUCUUCCAAUAAAUUUUUAUGGCUUUUCUGCA